AUUGAACGCUGGCGGCGUGCUUAACACAUGCAAGUCGUGCGGUAACAGGCGUAGCAAUACGUGCUGACGAGCGGCGAACGGGUGCGUAAUACAUGGGAAUCUGCCCUUUAGUGGGGAAUAACCCGGCGAAAGCCGGGCUAAUGCCGCAUAAGAUCUUCGGAUGAAAGCGGGGGAUCGUAAGACCUCGCGCUGAUGGAUGAGCCCAUGUCGGAUUAGCAGUUGGUGAGGUAACGGCUCACCAAGGCGACGAUCCGUAGCUGGUCUGAGAGGACGGCCAGCCACACUGGGACUGAGACACGGCCCAGACUCCUACGGGAGGCAGCAGUGGGGAAUAUUGGACAAUGGGCGAAAGCCUGAUCCAACGACGCCGCGUGUGU
rnacentral:rRNA from 1 species